UCAUUGUGACGUUGUCUACCCAACGUUUCGCAUCUUGGCUGAGAGUAUUAUUUUACAUCUUCAGCCGUCUUGUCGUUUUCGAUUGCAACCGCAUUAAACGCGUCGCAGGAGCUUCUGUCACAAUAACAAGCAGGUGGCCCAGUGAGCGUGACUGCAACGCUGCGUUUACUAUUAUUUUGUAUCCAUCCGUGGCCGGUGUUCGAGUCGCAACGGGCAUUGUCGUAAAUCUUUGCAGUACCGCAGAGAAACAUCGUGCGGCAUUACCGCUGGUGACUUAGCUGGCUUUUGUCGACCUACCUGGUCCGUCGGCAGUCCGUGCUGUGUAUCAUUGGAACAGGCUUAAGUGUGCGAGAUGUGCGCGGAGUUCAGCAGUUUCUUGGCUGCCGUCGUGGCGAUUGUGAACCAACCCAAGAAACAGAUCGGGGGAGCUGUGCAGCAUCACUCAAUGUGCGGCUCUGGUGCGCUGCAGGAGUGCCGCGAGCGCUCGUCCCCAAUCCACCAGGUUCCCCAAAUUCCAGUCACAACCCAGAUCUCGAAAAAUAAAUCGGAGUAACCCAUCGCUAGUUGCUGACAUUCAUGAUCGCAUCAUGUAAAUUUUUCGUCGCAUUUCCGGCAUUUCUGCAAUAAAAUCCUA